ACACAAACUCUAUGUAUCUGCCAACAGACUACUUGCUAAUUGUCUAGGGGACAGGUGCCUUUGCAGUAAACAAGCCAGGUCAAAUGCUUCUGCACCAAGUGAUCGGGCCUUGCACUGACUUCACAGGAAGUGAUGUACUGAGAUAUGCAAACUCACCUGCAUAGAUUUUCAACAGAAAUGCAUGACCUGAAAUCUACUCAGGAGGAAACAAAGCCAAAUCGAGGGACAUUCUGCAGAUUCUGGAUUCUGCAGAUCUGGAUUUGUCAAGCAUCAACCUUGAACUUCUGGAGGCAGGGAAUUUUGUUUGAUUCUUCUUCCUAUGGCAACAACUGCUGUGUAAGACAACACCGCUAUCGGAUGCCCACUGAGUGCCCUGAGGCUUGGGGGAAACACUACAACUGAUUCAGCAAACAUUUACUGAGCAUCUAUGGAGUCUAUGGGGAUACAAAGAUGAUCAAAUAGCUCAGGCUCUGCUCUCAAAAGUCUUAGUCAAGGAAAUGGAAAAACACAAUAGUAAUCAGAGGAUUAAAAUAAAAUCUGAUAAUCUCUGUGAAGGAGUCAGGCAUGCUGGAGGCAGCCAGGAGGGUAAAGAAAAGCCACUGAAGGUUUUUAAGGUGGGGAGAUACCAUGAUAAGUUUUAGAAAUGUGUUUGCUCAACUUGCCAGUAGUAAGAAUGGUGAGAAGGAAGUGGAGACAGGGAGACCCAGGUGUCAGCUGCGCUACAUGUUUUGGAAUCGUGAUGUCUGCAUGGCUGGGAGGAUAUGGUGACGACAUGGACAUGGAACUGAUGCAUAAAACCCAGGUCUAAAAUAUUUCCAAAUGUGCUCAAGUGUAACAUCGACGGUAGGCAAAAGCUUCGGCUGGAAUGCGCUCUGUCCACACUCCAGACCAGCAUUUCUCAAUUUUUAACCCAUAUUCCCAUUUGAUAAGCAUUAGAGAUCCCGCUCCCUCUUUAAACUUUGUAUUAGGAAAACAACGGUUGUUCCGCACCCCCUUUUCAACGUACACACUUCUGUAAUAAAUACGACUCGCAAUAAAAAGUAAUGAACUAUU